AGAGUUUGAUCCUGGCUCAGGAUGAACGCUAGCGACAGGCUUAACACAUGCAAGUCGAGGGGCAGCGGGGUGUAGCAAUGCGCCGCCGGCGACCGGCGCACGGGUGAGUAACGCGUAUGCAACUUGCCUAUCAGAGGGGGAUAACCCGGCGAAAGUCGGACUAAACCCGCGUACAUGCCACCGGGGCAUCCCGGAGGCAGGAAAGGCUUCGGCCGGACAGGGAUGGGCAUGCGGCGCAUUAGGCAGUAGGCGGGGUAACGGCCCACCUAACCGACGAUGCGUAGGGGUUCUGAGAGGAAGGUCCCCCACACUGGUACUGAGACACGGACCAGACUCCUACGGGAGGCAGCAGUGAGGAAUAUUGGUCAAUGGUCGGGAGACUGAACCAGCCAAGCCGCGUGAGGGAGAAAGGUACAGAGUAUCGUAAACCUCUUUUGUCAGGGAACAAAGACUGGGACGCGUCCCCGGAUGAGUGUACCUGAAGAAAAAGCAUCGGCUAACUCCGUGCCAGCAGCCGCGGUAAUACGGAGGAUGCGAGCGUUAUCCGGAUUUAUUGGGUUUAAAGGGUGCGCAGGCGGUCUGUUAAGUCAGCGGUCAAAGCCCGGGGCUCAACCCCCGGUCCCCCGUUGAAACUGGCAGUCUCGAGUUGGAGAGAAGUAUGCGGAAUGCGCGGUGUACCGGUGAAAUGCAUAGAUAUCGCGCAGAACUCCCAUUGCGAAGGCAGCAUGCCGGCCUCCCCCCUGACGCUGAGGCCACAAAGCGUGGGUAUCGAACAGGAUUAGAUACCCUGGUAGUCCACGCAGUAAACGAUGAAUGCUGGCUGUCCGGGGGGACUGACCCCUGGGUGGCGAAGCGAAAGCGAUAAGCAUUCCACCUGGGGGAGUACGCCGGCAACGGUGAAACUCAAAGGAAUUGACGGGGGCCCGCACAAGCGGAGGAACAUGUGGUUUAAUUCGAUGAUACGCGAGGAACCUUACCCGGGCUCAAACGGGGAGUGGCGCAGGCAGAGACGCCUGUUUCCCACGGGACACUCCCCGAGGUGCUGCAUGGUUGUCGUCAUCUCGUGCCGUGAGGUGUCGGCUUAAGUGCCAUAACGAGCGCAACCCCCGCGUGCAGUUGCUAACAGUCAACGCUGAGGACUCUGCACGGACUGCCGGCGCAAGCCGCGAGGAAGGCGGGGAUGACGUCAAAUCAGCACGGCCCUUACGUCCGGGGCGACACACGUGUUACAAUGGGUGGUACAGCGGGAAGCCAGGCGGCGACGCCGAGCGGAACCCGAAAUCCACUCUCAGUUCGGAUCGGAGUCUGCAACCCGACUCCGUGAAGCUGGAUUCGCUAGUAAUCGCGCAUCAGCCAUGGCGCGGUGAAUACGAAACCGGGCCUUGUACACACCGCCCGUCA
rnacentral:rRNA from 1 species